rnacentral:rRNA from 1 species
UACGGAGGGUGCAAGCGUUAAUCGGAAUUACUGGGCGUAAAGCGCACGCAGGCGGUCUGUUAAGUCAGACGUGAAAUCCCUCAGCUUAACUGGGGAACUGCGUCUGAUACUGGAUGGCUUGGAUUCGGGAGAGGAAUGCGGAAUUCCAGGUGUAGCGGUGAAAUGCGUAGAUAUCUGGAGGAACACCGGUGGCGAAGGCGGCAUUCUGGACCGAUAUUGACGCUGAGGAGCGAAAGCCAGGGGAGCAAACGGG